GCCGAGUGUGGUGGCGCACACCUGUGGUCCAGCUACUAUGGAGGCUGAGGCAGGAGGAUUGCUUAGGUCCAGGAGUUCGAGGCUGCAGUGAGCUAUGAACGUGCCACUACACUCCAGCCUGGGCCACAGAGCAAGACCCUGUUUCAA
ensembl:misc_RNA Metazoa_SRP Metazoan signal recognition particle RNA